UCGGGAAUAUUGGACAAUGGGCGAAAGCCUGAUCCAGCCAUGCCGCGUGUGUGAAGAAGGUCUUCGGAUUGUAAAGCACUUUAAGUUGGGAGGAAGGGCAGUAACCUAAUACGUUGCUGUCUUGACGUUACCGACAGAAUAAGCACCGGCUAACUCUGUGCCAGCAGCCGCGGUAAUACAGAGGGUGCAAGCGUUAAUCGGAAUUACUGGGCGUAAAGCGCGCGUAGGUGGUUUGUUAAGUUGGAUGUGAAAUCCCCGGGCUCAACCUGGGAACUGCAUUCAAAACUGACAAGCUAGAGUAUGGUAGAGGGUGGUGGAAUUUCCUGUGUAGCGGUGAAAUGCGUAGAUAUAGGAAGGAACACCAGUGGCGAAGGCGACCACCUGGACUGAUACUGACACUGAGGUGCGAAAGCGUGGGGAGCAAACAGGAUUAGAUACCCAAGUAGUCCCUGAGCGGGCUGGCAAGGCGCAU
rnacentral:rRNA from 1 species